UACGAAGGGGGCUAGCGUUGCUCGGAAUCACUGGGCGUAAAGGGUGCGUAGGCGGGUUUUUAAGUCAGGGGUGAAAUCCUGGAGCUCAACUCCAGAACUGCCUUUGAUACUGUGGAUCUUGAGUUCGGGAGAGGUGAGUGGAACUGCGAGUGUAGAGGUGAAAUUCGUAGAUAUUCGCAAGAACACCAGUGGCGAAGGCGGCUCACUGGCCCGAUACUGACGCUGAGGCACGAAAGCGUGGGGAGCAAACAGG
rnacentral:rRNA from 1 species